UCUAGGGCUGCUGCGGACCACUGGGCGCUGGCUGCUCCCGCUCGCCUCUUGGGGUGCGCUCGGCUCCAGCCCAACUCCGCCAGCUCCGCCGGCUCCAGCACCGCUCCAACCCGAUUCCAGCCGGAUUCCAGCCCGAUUCCAGCCCGGUUCCAGCCCGAUUCCAGCCCGGUUCCAGCCCAGCUCCGUCCCGGCUCCGGUUCUUCUCCGCCACGCCUCUCUGUCGACGCUGAGGAGCAGCUUCGCAGGAAAAUCCCAGAAACCUUUGCAAAAAGCUUACAAUGAAAUUUAAGAAGUUCUACGAUUUCGGCGCCAUUUUCGAGUGGAGUGAGAGUAUUGGAAAAGUUUGGCUGGAAGGUGCGGAGGACCUGUGCAUCAUGUUUUGGGUGUGGGGGCGCAUGGCAUCUGCAACAUUAAAAGACAAAACGUUCUCAACUGGGAAGAGAGGAAGAGGCUUAGUCUUUGGCUCUUAAAUCAUUUGGCCAAACCCUUCGCAGUUCUGAAGUGGGUGGGGCCAUUUUGACCCGUCGUGGUUCUGAAGUGGGUGGGGCCAUGGUAACCCUAAAGUAUUGAUUCUUUGUCUAUUGUAUCAGCGAAUGACCCUCUCUAGAAGUGACCAGACAUCUCUUUGUGCUCUCUUUUCGUAAGUAAAGUUAAGCCCAAGGGGAAAUACACAAACCCAGGGAGUGAGAUGGCUUUUUAAGGAUAUAAGUCGUUGUAGAGUGAUGGGAAGAAAAGAAAUGGAUGAAGGAUAAUCUAGAGAUGAAUUUGAUUCCAGUGUAUUCGUUAACAAAAUUAUCUAGUAAGACCUUCGUUUUUGAUGAUGUUAUCUCGAAUGAAUUUUGUUUUUAUGAGUAGUCAACUAAGGAAAUGUUAAAUUAAGAGGAAUUGCAAUCUCUGAUGUGACAUUUGUGUGGGACAUAAAGUUAAAUUGGGAGAAAAAUACGUAUCUUUAAAGUAUAAUUGUAUCUUUACUAAACACGGCUUUUCUCUCUCCUCUUUUUAAAGGUGACCAUCGAUGGUUUUUUCCUCCACAAUUCCGUGUCCAUGUAAAAAUGACUUGUAAUAUAGCCAAGAAAAGACGGAAUUUUCAUUCCAACUUAAGGAGUGGGGCUGUUAUUAUUAAUGGCUUUAUUUAUCAUGACCUAAGCAAUGCAUAUGUUAGCACUGGAUCAUUAUCUGUUAUGUUAGGAAUUUUGUAUUUAGUUUAAUUACAUACUCUGUAUAUUUUAUUAAUUAAUUAAAAGGACCCAGCAUUCAUUGUACUAGUUUCGAAAAACGGACAUAAUUUUAAAUGAGAAUACAGGAAAUUUGUAUACAGAAUGUUUUUUGCUUUCAAAGGCACUGUAGUUUUGUUGUUUUAGUUAUUAGGUUUGUGGUUAAGGACUAAAGGAUGGUUUUUGUGCUUUCCUGAAUGCUUUGUUUAAACAAGGAAAUGAAUGUAACUUGUUGCUCAUGUGUGUCCAUUUUGAAAAGCAACAGUGGGAGCUGAGGAGAGCGCACAGUGCCGGCCAUUUCAAGACAAGAUUUUCAGUGGCGUGGCUUAAGAAGGAGUGAUUUGUAUUUAACAUCAAGUAUUUAAGGAUGUCAUUUAUUUAAAGUUCUUGAUUUGUGAUUUGAUGUCGAUGGUAACAAAUGUCUUUAUAAAUAAGCUUGAGUAGCCAGCAAUGUAUGAGAACAUCCAGGAAUGUAUGUUUCAUCUAGAACAUUCUCAUGCUUUGUCCUUAAAAAUAACUAAUGACGAGGUGAUUACUGUAAGAACGGAGGAAACUACUAGACAAGUCUAUUCCAUGCCUAUAGUAUUCAGUAAAACCAACUGGGACUACCCAGAGGGAUUUUUUUUUGAUUAUCAAAAGUUCCUUGCACCAAUUUCCAAUAAAUGAUCAAAACCCGGGGACAAUAAAUGAGACUUAUACAAGGUA
rnacentral:lncRNA from 1 species